UCCACCGCCGACACCGCCCUUCAAGGGUGUUGUGCCCACGGCAGCUCCUCGGCCACCACCGUCUGAGGCCGGAGAAGCACCGGGAGAUGCAGGAGAGGAGGGAGUAGACGGAGCUCGUCAAGGACGUUGCGCCCAAGGAGGAAAACAACGCCUCCUACGAGGACCAGCUUGGCUUCGUCCAGUGCUUGCUGCCGGAGAUGGAGGCCCCUAAUCCCUAGUGUCCAUGGUUUCCCGCUAUUGUCGGUGAUGGAGGACACUGCGGAGGCGCUCUUGCGGUAUGCCACGAUGGACGAAGAAGCGUGGCUUCAUGGGGUCCAGCCAUGGCUGCUACGACGGCGGCAAGCGCCAGUCUGGUGGUUUGCUACCAUCGGCUAUGGUGCUUGCCGUCAACGGCGUUCGGCAGUGCUUCAACCGGCUACGGAGGUUGCUGCGAACCAGCGACAACAAUGCUGCCACGGGCAACGACAGAUGCUUCCAGCGGUGUAGGACGGUGCUGCAAACGGUCAGCGGUGGUGCUAUCAACAGUUGAUGGCGGUGCUGCCAGAAGCAAGUAACGGUGCUACUAGCCAGAGUGGGGAUGCUGCUAGUGGUGCACCGGCGAGAAAUAGUUGACGGUGCUACAAUGGUAUAAUUUUGUUGCUUCAAUUAUUCUGCGGUUUCGCUAUUUUGGUGUAAUUUUUUUUGCUACGAGGUCUCCUGCAAGGUUUACGGAGAUGUCUCUAACGAGAUCGAUUUUUUCUACAAUACCACAAAUGUUGCAAUGCUACAAUAA